rnacentral:lncRNA from 1 species
AUCACAGCCUGUGACACCCACAUGACUAGGAGGAGGCAGAAAGUGAAUAGGGAGCUCUUAUUACUUUUUGAGUGUCAGCAAGUUAAGACAUCAUCUCCAGAAAACUGUGCUAGUUGGCAUCCAGCAGUGCCCAAGUAUUAUUUAACCCACUAGAACCUGUGACUGCAUCAGCUUUAUAUCCUGGACCUCAGCCUGGAACAAAGGAGAGCUACACUUGGAUACUAAACACAAGUGGUCUGGAUAGAUUAUGCUGGGAAAAGAAGCCUGGAGCAGGCAGUACAGUGGGAGAACAAGACAGAAGUGCUUGCCUUGGUGAUCCAAAAAAGGCAGGAUCCGGCCGGGGGCAAGGUGAUUAUUCUGUCUGAUGAGGAGAAUAAGAGCCAGUUUGUGGUAUUGACAGAAGAAUGAAAGUAAAGUCUUGAAAGAUGGGAAGAUCAGGAGCAGUCUGGAGUCAUGGUAUAUGAAUGAACUAGUGAGAGUGGGCACAAAGUCUGAAGAUCUUUGUAGUGCAGCUAAUGUCUAAGGGAGAAUAUACCUACCCUAGAAGAGACAUUAAACAACCAGUUCAACCAAUCUACAAAGGCCAAAAAUAUUUUCACAGGCCCCCAAAAGAUGAACUCCAAUCUGCUGCCCCUAAACGCAUUCUCCACUGUCUGGAAGAUGUGCAAAGGCAACGGCACAGCGUUCUCCAUCUCAAAUCCUUCAAAGUGCUGUCAGAAUAAAA